rnacentral:rRNA from 1 species
UCGGGAAUUUUGGACAAUGGGCGCAAGCCUGAUCCAGCCAUGCCGCGUGCGGGAAGAAGGCCUUCGGGUUGUAAACCGCUUUUGUCAGGGAAGAGACGCUCUGGGCUAAUACCCUGGGGUAAUGACGGUACCUGAAGAAUAAGCACCGGCUAACUACGUGCCAGCAGCCGCGGUAAUACGUAGGGUGCAAGCGUUAAUCGGAAUUACUGGGCGUAAAGCGUGCGCAGGCGGUUAUGCAAGACAGAUGUGAAAUCCCCGGGCUCAACCUGGGAACUGCAUUUGUGACUGUAUAGCUAGAGUACGGUAGAGGGGGAUGGAAUUCCGCGUGUAGCAGUGAAAUGCGUAGAUAUGCGGAGGAACACCGAUGGCGAAGGCAAUCCCCUGGACCUGUACUGACGCUCAUGCAUGAAAGCGUGGGGAGCAAACAGGAUUAGAUACCCCUGUAGUCCCUGAGCGGGCUGGCAAGGCGCAU